rnacentral:rRNA from 1 species
GACGAACGCUGGCGGCGUGCUUAACACAUGCAAGUCGAACGGAAAGGCCCUGCUUUUGUGGGGUGCUCGAGUGGCGAACGGGUGAGUAACACGUGAGUAACCUGCCCUUGACCUUGGGAUAACUUCAGGAAACUGGGGCUAAUACCGGAUAGGAGCUCCUGCCGCAUGGUGGGGGUUGGAAAGUUUCGGCGGUUGGGGAUGGACUCGCGGCUUAUCAGCUUGUUGGUGGGGUAGUGGCUUACCAAGGCUUUGACGGGUAGCCGGCCUGAGAGGGUGACCGGCCACAUUGGGACUGAGAUACGGCCCAGACUCCUACGGGAGGCAGCAGUGGGGAAUAUUGCACAAUGGGCGGAAGCCUGAUGCAGCAACGCCGCGUGCGGGAUGACGGCCUUCGGGUUGUAAACCGCUUUCGCCUGUGACGAAGCGUGAGUGACGGUAAUGGGUAAAGAAGCACCGGCUAACUACGUG